rnacentral:miRNA from 1 species
AACAUAAGGUUGGUGCAAAAGUAAUUGCGGUUUUUGCCAUUGAAAGUAAUGGCAAAAACCACAAUUACUUUUGCACCAAGCUAAUAGAA